rnacentral:rRNA from 1 species
AUUGAACGCUGGCGGCAGGCCUAACACAUGCAAGUCGAACGGUAGCACAGAGAGCUUGCUCUCGGGUGACGAGUGGCGGACGGGUGAGUAACGUCUGGGAAACUGCCCGAUGGAGGGGGAUAACUACUGGAAACGGUAGCUAAUACCGCAUAACGUCGCAAGACCAAAGUGGGGGACCUUCGGGCCUCACACCAUCGGAUGUGCCCAGAUGGGAUUAGCUAGUAGGUGGGGUAAUGGCUCACCUAGGCGACGAUCCCUAGCUGGUCUGAGAGGAUGACCAGCCACGCUGGAACUGAGACACGGUCCAGACUCCUACGGGAGGCAGCAGUGGGGAAUAUUGCACAAUGGGCGCAAGCCUGAUUCAGCCAUGCCGCGUGUAUGAAGAAGGCCUUCGGGUUGUAAAGUACUUUCAGCGGGGAGGAAGGCGGUGAAGUUAAUAACUUCACCGAUUGACGUUACCCGCAGAAGAAGCACCGGCUAACUCCGUGCCAGCAGCCGCCGUAA